UGGGAAGCCUUUCUGCUAGUUGUCC
rnacentral:piRNA from 1 species